CCAACCCACCCAAACCAAACCAAACCAAACCAAACCCUCACCGCAUAAUACUGUACUACUGUAUGUCAUUUCUUACUUCUCUGUAGUUACUGACUGUUCCUAACAUAAGUGGCAAAAAAAAUUUAGUGAUUGAUAUUUGAGAUUUUAAAUUUGAAUUUUAAUGGAUUCAUAUUUUCAGCUAAGUUUAUUUCUAAAUUAAAUAGCCAAAACGAAUAAUAACAUGCUGCCUAUCUAUUUAAAAAAAAGAACUUUAUAUGUAGUUUUCCCACUCUUUCGGUUACUAUACAAUGUUUGGCGGGUAAAACUUCCACCAAACCCUGAUCUAUUAUCAUAUGUCAGUUUUAUCUUCCUUCCAAAAUUUAUUGGUUGUCUUUUAAUAUUUAAAAUUUUUUUAAAAAUUUAAAUUAAAUAAUAAUAAUUUUUGGAUAGAAAUAAAAUCGACAUGUAGCAGCGAAUGGAGGGCGCCUCAUUAGGUCACUGCUAUGUAGGAAAACUCUAAAAAAUUAUUUUCUAAAAAAAUAUAAAAAUAUUAUUUUUCGCAGUUUAAGUUUUUUAAUAAAAAAUUUUAAAAAUAAAAAUAACAGUUCUUUUAU
rnacentral:lncRNA from 1 species